rnacentral:sRNA from 1 species
GCUGGGUGUGGUGAUGCACCCCUGUAAUCCCAGCAGCUUGGGGGGCUGAGGCAGGAGGAUCAUGAGUUCAAAGCCAGACUCAGCAAAAGUGAGGCAUUAAGCAAUUCAGUGAGACCUUGUCUCUA